UCGCGUCAACAGCGGAGGCCGCGCGGCCUGGGUUUACUCCAACGCUGUUGACGUAACGUCAUCCUUGCAGGACGUGGACGGAAGAAAAGGGAGUGUAAGCCGGCGCCAGAAUCCGCCCGCGUGUAGUACGGGCCGGACGCCGGGGCUGGGCGGCUGCGUUCAGAUACCUUGGUCAGUGACCACCUUGCAGCAUGUUGAGUCGAGUCUGCCGCUCUGGAUCCCAGUCCUUCACCCACCGUCUCCUGCCCUGGGUCCAAUCCACAACACUCUCCAGAUCUUGUCGUGUCCAGCCUUCAGCCAUCAGACAUGUUCGUUCUUGGAGCAACAUCCCCUUUAUCACGGUACCCCUCAGUCGUACACAUGGCAAGUCUUUUGCCCACCGCAGUGAGCUGAAGCAUGCCAAGAGAAUCGUGGUGAAACUCGGAAGUGCCGUGGUGACCCGAGGGGAUGAAUGUGGCCUGGCACUGGGGCGCCUGGCAUCUAUUGUUGAGCAGGUGUCAGUACUGCAGAAUCAAGGCCGAGAGAUGAUGCUGGUGACUAGUGGAGCUGUAGCCUUUGGCAAGCAGCGCUUGCGCCAUGAGAUCCUUCUGUCUCAGAGCGUGCGGCAGGCCCUACACUCGGGGCAGAACCACCUGAAGGAGAUGGCAAUUCCAGUCUUAGAAGCCCGAGCCUGUGCAGCCGCCGGACAGAGUGGGCUGAUGGCCUUGUAUGAAGCCAUGUUUACCCAGUACAGCAUCUGCGCUGCGCAGAUUUUGGUGACCAAUUUGGAUUUCCACGAUGAGCAGAAGCGCCGGAACCUCAAUGGGACACUUCAUGAGCUCCUCCGAAUGAACAUCGUCCCCAUUGUCAACACAAACGAUGCUGUUGUGCCCCCAGCAGAGCCCAAUAGUGAUCUCCAGGGGGUAAAUGUUAUUAGUGUUAAAGAUAACGAUAGCCUGGCUGCCCGUCUGGCUGUGGAAAUGAAGACUGAUCUCUUAAUUGUUCUUUCAGAUGUAGAAGGCCUCUUUGACAACCCCCCAGGGUCAGAUGAUGCAAAGCUCAUUGAUAUAUUUUAUCCCGGUGAUCAGCAGUCCGUGACAUUCGGAACCAAGUCCAGAGUGGGAAUGGGUGGCAUGGAAGCCAAGGUGAAAGCAGCCCUCUGGGCUUUGCAAGGUGGUACUUCUGUGGUCAUUGCCAAUGGGACCCACCCGAAAGUGUCUGGGCAUGUCAUCACAGACAUUGUGGAGGGAAAGAAAGUUGGCACCUUCUUUUCCGAAGUAAAGCCUGCAGGCCCUACCGUGGAGCAGCAGGGAGAAAUGGCUCGAUCAGGAGGAAGGAUGUUGGCCACCUUGGAACCUGAGCAGAGAGCAGAGAUUAUCCAUCAUCUGGCUGAUCUGUUGACGGACCAGCGAGAUGAGAUCCUGUUAGCCAACAAAAAAGACUUGGAGGAGGCAGAAGGGAGACUCGCAGCUCCUCUGCUGAAACGUUUGAGCCUUUCCACGUCUAAACUGAACAGCCUGGCUAUCGGUCUGCGGCAGAUCGCAGCCUCCUCACAGGACAGCGUGGGGCGGGUUUUGCGCCGGACCCGAAUUGCCAAAGACUUGGAGCUCGAACAAGUGACUGUCCCAAUUGGAGUUCUACUGGUCAUCUUUGAAUCUCGCCCUGACUGUCUACCCCAGGUGGCAGCCUUGGCUAUCGCAAGUGGUAAUGGCUUGUUACUCAAAGGAGGGAAGGAGGCCUCACACAGCAACCGGAUUCUUCACCUCCUGACCCAGGAGGCCCUCUCAAUCCAUGGAGUCAAGGAGGCCGUACAGCUGGUGAAUACCAGAGAAGAAGUGGAAGAUCUUUGCCGCCUAGACAAAAUGAUAGAUCUAAUCAUUCCACGCGGCUCCUCUCAGCUGGUCAGAAACAUCCAGAAAGCUGCUAAGGGCAUUCCAGUGAUGGGGCACAGUGAAGGCAUCUGCCACAUGUAUGUGGAUUCAGAGGCCAGUGUCGACAAGGUCACCAGACUAGUUAGAGACUCUAAAUGCGAAUAUCCAGCCGCCUGUAAUGCUUUAGAGACUCUGUUAAUCAACCGAGAUCUGCUGAGAACACCAUUAUUCGACCAGAUCAUUGACAUGCUGAGAGUGGAACAGGUGAAGAUUCACGCAGGCCCCAAGUUCGCCUCCUAUCUGACCUUCAGCCCCUCCGAAGUGAAGUCCCUCCGAACUGAGUACGGGGACCUGGAACUGUGCAUUGAAGUGGUGGACAGCGUGCAGGAGGCCAUUGACCACAUCCACAAGUACGGCAGCUCCCACACGGAUGUCAUCGUCACAGAGAAUGAGAAGACAGCAGAGUUCUUCCUCCAGCACGUGGAUAGUGCCUGUGUGUUCUGGAACGCCAGCACUCGCUUCUCUGAUGGCUACCGCUUCGGACUGGAUGAGGAUACUGAGAUGCAAAGAAAUGAAGUAACUUGCCCAAAGUCAUGCAGCUGGUGUUCAGACCCAGACUUCCAUGAGUCCAGAGCCUGGACUCUGCCACGUACAGCAGACCACAGUGUGUCUGCGUGCAUGGAUUAUGACAGGUGUGCAUGCCAAGGUCCCGUGAGAGCACUGCCGCUGCAGACUUACUCCUUCAGAGGGACACAGCCAGGUUGCCUCAGAGCUAGGAAUCCACCCUGAGGACAGGACAAAAGAAAGUGUUAGUACCUAUUGCCGGGCUGAAGUAUGAGCAUCAGAAACAAACAGGUAAGCCCACAGGUGCAAGGUUGACUUCUAAAGCAGACUUCGAAAUAAAAAGCUUCAGAAAGACACCCUCCCGCCUUCCAUCAUUAGUAGUAAAUUCUCCAUCCCCCAGUAGUAUAAGGAGUUCUCAGGCAGUCGCUGGUUUUCAGGGGUACCAUUUUACAAAGCUCCAAUGAGGCAUUUAUGGCGCAUCUGAGAAUUAUUUCAACUACUUAAAACAUUUUAAUCCCUCUGAACGUUUGAAUAGAGAGCUGCCUAGAGAAAUAGUUCUCACUGAAUUGUUAAAGGUUAUUAAAGGGAAUUUUGCUCAGUUAUUCUUAGUCAUUGGACUCUUUAUUUUUAGUUCCCUGUUUCUGUUGUGUUGGGGUUUGAUUUAAUUAUCACAUCGCUUGCACUGAUCUUUGUAUUCCAUGUUCUUGAAGAAGAAAUAGCACACUUGUAAGGGCUGAGGUGCCCAGCUUUCAAGUGAAAGUCCAAGAUGGGGGAGGAGCAAAGACCACUCCAUUGUCUUUCCAUCAGCCGCUCAGAGCAAAAGCUCAGACUCUGGUUGGGUUAAGUUCCUGUGAAAUGCAUGAAUAACAGUAACAGCUAAUAUUUAUUGAGCAUUUACUAUAUUUCCGGCACUGUGCUAAGUGCAUCACAUGCAUUAUCUCACUUAGUUCUACAUAAUGGAUUCUAUUAUUUUCUUCCUUUUCCAAAAGAAAAAACUGAAGCAAGAGAUGGUUAGGUAACCUGCCCAAAGUCAUGUGGUCUCUGCGCUAUUAACCCAGAAUUUGAAGCCAGUGGUCACCAUCUCCUUGCCAACCACUGCCCCAGGCACCUCUGCAUUCGGGUCCUUGCUUGCUCCUCUCUGCCUGCAGCGGCUCUCCACUGCUGUCCCCUGGCCGGCUCCUUCUCAUUCACGUUUUAGCCAAAGGCACCUCCUCGGGGAGCCUCUCACUGACCACCCUAUCCAGGCUGCUGCCGCCCUGCCACACAGUCUCCGUCCGUCCCAGCACCCUCCACUGCACCCAUCACCACAUGGAAUUAUUUGUUGAACUGUUCUUUGGCUGCCUUGCCCACAAGAAUACAAGCUCCAUGAAUUGCAUCAGUUGUUCACCACUUCAUCCCCGGGUCCCAGCCCAGUGCCCGCUCAGUGAAGUUGUGAUGAGCAGAGGAGCCCUGCCUCAACCGCACACGGUGUGGAGCACCAAGCCAGACCCGGGAAGAGCCCUGGUGCCCCGCGUCUGAGGCUGGAGCAGGAGGGAGGAAAAUGAAAAGCACUCUUUGGUGUAGUCAGCAGCCAUCUCAUGAGCACCUAGGAGCUAGGCGUUCUAGGGAAUACCUAGAACAUGUCCCUUACCAUCCAGCGUUUAAAGGAUACUCGGGGAGAUGAAACCUCUAUACACCGUCGUACACCUGAAACAAUGCCCAAAUGUCAGAUGAUGGAGCUGAAGUGGGGAUCAGUACGUCUCGAAUCCACGCCCGGGGACCAGUGGGACUGGAGGGACUGCUUACUACCAAGUGGCUGC